CGCUAUCACUCCUACGGGGAGGCAGCAGUGGGGAAUUUUGGGACAAUGGGCGAAAGCCUGAUCCAGCCAUGCCGCGUGCAGGAUGAAGCCUUCGGGUGUAACUGCUUUGUACGGAACGAAAGACUCUGGUUAAUACCUGGGGUCCAUGACGGUACCGUAAGAAUAAGCACCGGCUAACUACGUGCCAGCAGCCGCGGUAAUACGUAGGGUGCAAGCGUUAAUCGGAAUUACUGGGCGUAAAGCGUGCGCAGGCGGUUAUAUAAGACAGAUGUGAAAUACCCCGGGCUCAACCUGGGAACUGCAUUUGUGACUGUAUAGCUAGAGUACGGCAGAGGGGGAGUGGAAUUCCGCGUGUAGCAGUGAAAAUGCGUAGAUAUGCGGAGGAACACCGAUGGCGAAGGCAAUCCCCCUGGGCCUGUACUGACGCUCAUACACGAAAGCGUGGGGAGCAAACAGGAUUAGAUACCCUGGUAG
rnacentral:rRNA from 1 species